ACCUAAAGUGAUAUAAUUCUCUAAUUUGCUAAUGUUUAAAACAAAAAACUAAUAUUUUCAGUUACUGUUACUCAAUUUUUCAAUUGGAAUAAAUAAUAAUAGAUAAUUUUUAAUCGUUUAUUUUUUGCCAAUAUAAAAUUUAUGUUAUACUAUGAACCUGAAUUUCCUGAUUUGUAAAGCAUCUUCCAUCUGAAGGAUCUUUUUUGUUUGAGAUUUAAUGUCACUUUCUAUACAACAGUGGGAAUUAAAUGGCAGGACAUUUCGUUAUUCCUUACGAGCCUCUCACAUUCUUGAUGAAAUCAACAGUCAGGUGGAGGAUAGAGUUCAAUUUCUUCUGAAAUAUUUGGAGAUAUGGGACCCAGGAAUUGGACUCGGAUUUUCCAAGAUGAAAGCACAGCACGUUUCCACUGCAGAGGACUUUUAGGGAUUCAUCCUAAAAAAAUCUAGAGAUAUGGAACCCAAUAUCAAUCUCUGGUCUCAUAUUUGUGGAAUUUUUAGGGUGAAUCCUGAUCUGAUAGAUAAAGUAUAUCUCAUAAGUGAUAUGGUGCUUAUCUAAAUAAUCUAAUCUGGCCUGACUUGCUGUUGAAUAUGAGUGUUGUGUGUGAGCGAUUCUUAAUGAGAUAUAGAAUUGCCCUGUCUAUUAAAAUUUUACUAGAUGGAAAACGAUGUAAAACCAAAGAAUAUCCCUGAACCAAGAUCAAUAUAUUCGUUAAAUAUAUGUUUGGUUUGUGAUUGAUAAAAAUAUUAUAUAGCUUGAAUGCUUGUAUUAUCUCAGCUAAUAUUUUCAAUUAAAGUGUAACGAAUUUGUAAAAUUUUUUAUUUAGUUUAACAGAGUUUUCACUUUUCAUUUUUAUUAAGCGGUGGCGUCAUUCAGAAUCCACCAAAAAAACAUUCAUACCAUGAUAUGUCAAACUAGAAGAAACCAGGCCCGGACCAUUUUGAAAAAAUUUUUAAGUAUGGAAUCCCAAAUCAAUCUCAGAUCUUCUACUUUAGUUUGAAUUGCAUUGUCAAAUCACACAAUGGAUAUAUCUGACGGUGCACUUUUAGAGCCCAUCUUGGAUUGGCCAAUACCUAUGAAGAAGUCACUGAAAAGUUGAAUUGAAGGAUGAAGUUCAACGCGCCGAACCUGAACUCUUCUGUAAAACUGGAGAUGUGGAACAAGGUUCCACAUCUCCAGUUUUUCAUUUGAACCUAGUUCUCCCAGAGCCGUAUUAUCUAUUAGUUACCAAAAGCCAUAUGUUUAAAGGCUCCUCGACAAUAGGGGGCUUUAAAAGUAGGUUAAAAAUUAUUGAACAAUUUUAUAAUUUAUUUAAAAAAUUUUUGCCUACGUAUCCCAAAAGAUCUUAAUCCAAACCUCGGUCUUCCAAGAUGAUAAUAAUUGCUAUAUCACGCUGCCAUCUGGUUGGCUCGGAUUCUCCAGAUAGGUAAAACAAUAUCAUAAUACAGCAAGCCUACCGAAUUUAUAAAUUACACUGUUUUUAGUUUAUAUAAGAAAUAUAUUUAUUAAUAUGCAUAGAGAACAAAAUUUAAUAAUAAAGUUUAUUGGUAAUGGAUUUAGUACCAUUCUAUAGUAUUUAGGUGACUGAAUCAAUAUCCAUGUUUAUAGAUUUUACAUAUUACUGUAUUUCUUAAUUUGCCCUACGUCGCCUGGAAUAGCUGUUCCAUUUAUCCAUAUCAAGCCAUAUUACGGCACACACUGAUAGACUUAUUGAGAAUUUUGGCAUUUGUGAUGAAAUUAAAAAAUAACAUAACAAA
rnacentral:lncRNA from 1 species